UGUGUUGCAAAAACGACAAUCUACUUGAAGGAAAGUCCCCCUGGGGUUGACAAAUUACUUUCCUUAUGGCGUUCUCAUCCUCCUUUUAGAGUCCAUCAUUUUGCGCAGCGUAGUAUGGACCUUUCAGUGGGAAAGCAUGUAUGAUAGCAAUGGCUCAAAGCUUUUACCAAUUUCCAUCAGUUACCAGGCAGAUGGAAACUAUCUGGUUAAGGUGGGAGGAAACAGCUCUACUGUUUUUGAAGUCAAAGUAACACUCCUAGGUGAUCAAGAUUACAGGGUUGAAGUUGAUGGUGUAGGCAGCAAUGUCACUCUAGCUACUUACUCUAAGGAUCAAACUAAGCACAUUCAUAUAUGGCAUGGAUCACAACAUCAUCAUUUCACGCAACAAUUAGGCUUUGAGCUUUGUGAAGAAGAAGAAAUGCGACAUAACGUCAAUUCUGAGACAUCACAUCCUCCAGGGACUGUGGUAGCACCAAUGGCUGGUCUAGUGGUCAAGGUUCUGGGGAAUAAUGGAACGAAAGUGGAGGAAGGGCAACCAAUAUUAGUCUUAGAAGCAAUGAAGAUGGAGCAUGUAGUGAAGGCACCAUCUGCUGGUUAUGUUCAUGGCCUUGAAGUCGCAGCUGGUCAACAGGUUUCUGAUGGUAGCAUUCUCUUCAGGAUCGAGGAUAAAUAGAAUCCACUGUGGGGUUAUAUCUAAUGGUGCACUUGGACACAUUCAACGAAGUUGGCCGACUUACCAGGCAAUGUAUAUGUAUAUGUCAGAAUUUCCAGCUCGUUUUAAAGCUCUGUAGUCGCCAAAGUGGUGCCGAUUGGAAAUGCAGACGCAGCCAAAAGACGGGUCAAAAUGUUGGAACUGCGAAAAGGUUGAAUAUAUUAGUUCUGAAAAUUAAUACUAAUAUCUAUUACACUAUUUGUAAAGAGAAUAUCGCAUAUGUUUUCCAAAAUAAAUAUUUUAAAUCUAUUAAAAAA